AAUUAUGUUGUCUGUAUAUAGUAAGAUAGUGAGGUAGAGGCCUGCUCUCAACUGAUGAAUCACAGGAGCAUGACUGCAAAGAAACCAUUGAAACAAAGUCAGAUACACAGAAAUCACCAAAACCUCAGACAUAGAGAGUCAAUUGUUCUAAACUGAAACAGCAUAUCAUUAUGGACAAUGCACACCAGUGAACUCUGCGCGCCAUUCUGACCUGAUACUACACUCUGACACAUAAACAAAGUCAAGUUUUGCGGGCCAAAUCCAGCCUGCGAUGCAGUUAUUUUAUGUGGCCUGCAAAAUCUGACCAGACUUGUCAAUUGAAAACUAAGCGUUCCCCGCCAAUGACGAGAAAACUCAUACAUUGUUUUUUUGAUGGGGAGAGGCUAAGAAAGGCUAGGUGCAACGCCACUGUGACUUUGAAGCUUGGAAUGAAUUUCUCUGCCAUGAAAAUCCCCAGCAGCAUCUUGGAUGAGAGGUCAGUCAAUACCUAAAAAAAAGGAAGUGAGGCGGAGACUUGCUGAAGCAGUGCUGAAGAUGAGAGAAACGUGGAUAAAACAGAAAAAUGAAGAAAUACAGACAGCUAACGAUGGAGCAGAAUAUCUUCAGGGACAAAACAAAUAAAAAGAGGUCAUCAUGUUUGAUGGAUGACGAUGGCGAUCACAGAAGGAAAAAAAUGAUAACGCUGUAAGGUAGCAGAUGCUCAUGUCCUGAUGCUUUGGACAGAAACAAAAGAGAAUUUACAGAUGAUGCACCCAGCAGUAAGGUGACAAAGGUCCCUCCUCCGGUUGGCAGAACAAACAAGGAAGGCUGUGUAUCCUGCCAGAGGUAGGGAUAAAUCUGACUGGCAUGAGGCUGACUGCCGGCCAAAUAAGAUCCCCUUCACUGCAACCCCUUGGACACCUAAACUCUACCGCAGACUUGGAUUCUGAUGAGCCUGCUGAC